UACGGAGGGUGCAAGCGUUAUCCGGAUUCACUGGGUUUAAAGGGUGCGUAGGCGGGUAAGUAAGUCCGUGGUGAAAUCUCUGAGCUUAACUCGGAAACUGCCGUGGAUACUAUUUGCCUUGAAUAUUGUGGAGGUGAGCGGAAUAUGUCAUGUAGCGGUGAAAUGCUUAGAUAUGACAUAGAACACCAAUUGCGAAGGCAGCUCACUACACAAUCAUUGACGCUGAGGCACGAAAGCGUGGGGAUCAAACAGG
rnacentral:rRNA from 1 species